rnacentral:rRNA from 1 species
UACAUGUGGGGCAAGCGUUGUUCGGAAUUACUGGGCAUAAAGGGUGCGUAGGCGGCUUGUUAAGUCAGGGGUGAAAGUUUUCGGCCCAACCGGAAAAUUGCCUUUGAUACUGGCGAGCUCGAGUGCGUGAGGGUAACCGGAACGAGCAGUGUAGCGGUGAAAUGCGUAGAUAUUGCUCGGAAGGCCAACGGCGAAGGCAGGUUACU